UACGGAGGAUGCAAGCGUUAUCCGGAUUUAUUGGGUUUAAAGGGUGCGCAGGUUGUUUGAUAAGUCAGUGGUGAAAGUCUGUCGCUUAACGGUAGGAUUGCCAUUGAUACUGUUGGACUUGAAUAUGGAUGAGGUAGGCGGAAUGUGUAGUGUAGCGGUGAAAUGCAUAGAUAUUACACAGAACACCGAUUGCGAAGGCAGCUUACUGGACUGUAACUGACGUUGAGGCUCGAAAGCGUGGGGAGCAAACAGGAUUAGA
rnacentral:rRNA from 1 species